CCGGUAAUUAAUUGUAUAAGUAAACACAAAUCUUAAACGUAAAGACGAACACUAGUACCAGCAAAGCAAUAGCGAAGGAAGAGAGAAGAAUCUCUGGAGACCUUACCAAAACCCUAAUCUCUCUCUCAGAGAUCGGCCAUGGCUUCCUCUAAAGAUCGCGAAAACUACAUCUACGUCGCCAAGCUCGCUGAACAGGCAGAGCGAUACGACGAGAUGGUGGAUGCAAUGAAAAAUGUUGCAAAACUUGAUGUUGAAUUGACUGUUGAAGAGCGCAACUUGCUCUCUGUUGGAUACAAGAAUGUGAUCGGUGCUCGAAGAGCAUCAUGGAGGAUACUUUCAUCAAUCGAGCAAAAGGAAGAAGCAAAAGGAAAUGAAGUGAAUGCAAAGCGGAUCAAGGAGUAUAGGCAGAAAGUGGAAUCUGAGCUCACAACCAUUUGCAAUGAUAUCAUGACUGUCGUUGAUGAGCACCUCAUACCUGCAUCAACCGCUGGUGAAUCAGCUGUGUUCUACUAUAAGAUGAAAGGAGAUUAUUACCGAUAUCUUGCUGAAUUCAAGGUUGGUGAUGAAAAGAAAGAGGUUGCUGCUAAUUCAAUGAAAGCAUAUGAGAAAGCUACAAGUGCUGCAGAGGCUGAUUUGCCUCCUACACAUCCUAUCCGAUUGGGUUUGGCAUUGAAUUUCUCAGUUUUCUAUUACGAGAUCAUGAAUUCACCUGAAAGGGCUUGCCAUCUUGCAAAGCAAGCUUUUGAUGAAGCAAUUUCAGAACUGGACACCCUGAAUGAGGAGUCAUACAAAGAUAGCACCUUAAUUAUGCAGCUUCUUAGGGACAACCUCACUUUAUGGACUUCGGAUAUCCCAGAAGAUGGAGGUGAUUUGUUGGGGACUUAGUCACGGUUAAACUUUAGUUCAGAUGUGUGAUUACUCUUCGAUAGUAUUGUUGAUGAAGUUUUUUGCAUUCUGAUAGUUGCAUUUAGAUUUUCAGAAGAUGCUCUGAGGGUGAAUGGCACUACCAAAGUUGGUGGGGCAGAGGAUGCGGAGUGAUGAAGGGAGCAGCUUGGUCUUGGUACCGUGUUUGGGAGGAAAGGGACAGGACUUGAUAAUCGAUCUAGAGUUUACCGAAAAAGUCCUAUUGUUUUUUGCUUGCUGUCUUUUCUUCUUUAAAUUGCCAUAUUAUGGUGUGGUUUAUUGUAGCACAAUAUGUCCAAACAUGAUUGGUCCUACUUGUACUCAUCCAAGCGAUUACUUGCUGUGAUGGUCGAUAGAGUGUAGAGGCUUAGCCUGAUUACUCAAAGGUGUUUCCCUUAUUUGAUGUAAAUGCCACAGGAGCUUUUCUGCUGGUUGGGUUUACUCAAUGCUGCUUAUGUUUGAAGUUCA